GGGGAGAUACUCAAGCGGCCAACGAGGGCAGACUGUAAAUCUGCUGUCUUUCGACUUCGCAGGUUCGAAUCCUGCUCUCCCCAC
rnacentral:tRNA from 1 species